UCUGUUAACUUUUGUUCAAGCCUGUCUAGAUCUUUUAUCAGUCUAGAAAGAUGUUGGAGAAAAGACAUCAUCCUCUUCUAUAAUCUCCAUCUGUAAUUGGACUAACAACUGAACCAGUGAAGGCAACUUACUCUCCAUUCGACCUUGCAGGUCACACCAUGGUCUCAAGAGUGAAAAUGAGUGCUCUAUGGAUUGAACAGAAAAGGUGAAUCAAAACUCCAACCAUCUGUAUGAGGGUCUGGAUGGAUAAAGGAUGCCCACUGGAGCUGGAAAUGAUGGAUCAGGUCAUUUUCAUUUGUCACAUUUACAAAGAAGCACACUCUAAGGAUUGCGUUA